AGCCGUGGGAUGAGCACAAAGCGAACUAUUUUUUCGCUUUUUACUAAAAGAUACCGUGUGCUCGCCACGUAAAGCGUCAUUGGCCUAUUUUCGGAGGUGCUUUUUUCACUAAGAACU